UGGGGGCCACCUGCCUAUUAGACUGGGAUAACUUCGGGAAACCGGACCUAAUACCGGAUACGUUCUUUUCUCGCAUGAGAGAAGAUGGAAAGACGGUUUACGCUGUCACUUAUAGAUGGGCCCGCGGCGCAUUAGCUAGUUGGUGAGGUAAUGGCUCACCAAGGCGACGAUGCGUAGCCGACCUGAGAGGGUGAUCGGCCACACUGGGACUGAGACACGGCCCAGACUCCUACGGGAGGCAGCAGUAGGGAAUCUUCCGCAAUGGACGAAAGUCUGACGGAGCAACGCCGCGUGAACGAAGAAGGCCUUCGGGUCGUAAAGUUCUGUUGUUAGGGAAGAACAAGUACCAGAGUAACUGCUGGUACCUUGACGGUACCUAACCAGAAAGCCACGGCUAACUACGUGCCAGCAGCCGCGGUAAUACGUAGGUGGCAAGCGUUGUCCGGAAUUAUUGGGCGUAAAGCGCGCGCAGGUGGUUCCUUAAGUCUGAUGUGAAAGCCCACGGCUCAACCGUGGAGGGUCAUUGGAAACUGGGGAACUUGAGUGCAGAAGAGGAAAGUGGAAUUCCAAGUGUAGCGGUGAAAUGCGUAGAGAUUUGGAGGAACACCAGUGGCGAAGGCGACUUUCUGGUCUGUAACUGACACUGAGGCGCGAAAGCGUGGGGGAGCAAACAGGAUUAGAUACCCUGGUAGUCCACGCCGUAAACGAUGAGUGCUAAGUGUUAGAGGGUUUCCGCCCUUUAGUGCUGCAGCUAACGCAUUAAGCACUCCGCCUGGGGGAGUACGGGCCGGCAAGGCUGAAACUCAUAGGAAUUUGACGGGGGGCCCGCACAAGCGGGUGGGAGCAUGGUGGGUUAAUUCGGA
rnacentral:rRNA from 1 species